rnacentral:rRNA from 1 species
CAGCGAAACCGCGAGGUCAAGCAAAUCCCAUAAAGUUGUUCUCAGUUCGGAUUGUAGUCUGCAACUCGACUACAUGAAGCUGGAAUCGCUAGUAAUCGUAGAUCAGCAUGCUACGGUGAAUACGUUCCCGGGUCUUGUACACACCGCCCGUCACACCACGAGAGUUUGUAACACCCGAAGCCGGUGGAGUAACCUUUUAGGAGCUAGCCGUCGAAGGUGGGACAAAUGAUUGGGGUGAAGUCGUAACAAGGUAGCCGUAUCGGAAGGUGCGGCUGGAUCACCUCCUUU